UGCUGGCCUUCCCAUCUGUGUGCCGUGGGUGGUGCCUCCCGGGCGCCCAGUGCGCAGGCGUCAUCCAUAAAGCUCGGUCGUGCAAGGCGCUCCAGCGGGUCAGAGCUGCGGCAGCGGCGAGGAUCCCUCGGCUGGCUGGCUGAUGUGCGGUCAGGCCAUGUCCCUGGGCAUCUGCUGAACUGGAGCGCCCAAGAAUGUCUACACUGAAGAACGUGCGAGCCGCCGGCCCAAAGCUGCACUAGGACCCGACCAGAAUAGGCGGACAGCAGAACAGUGUGGUCCUGCAGAAGCUGAAGCCUGACACUCCUUACACCAUCACCCUGUCCUCCCUGUAUCCUGAUGUGGAAGGAGCUUGGAUGACGGGAAGAGGCGAGACCAAACCUUUGAAUACUGCGAGGAACCUCAGUGUAUGACCCUUCCACCAGCACUUUGCACGUUCGCUGGGAGCACACAGAGUGAAAUCCUCACCAGUUCAAGCUCUUUUAUGCACCCACAGCAGGUGCCAAUCCCUGUGAACACCAAUGAUGCCGUUCAUAGGAAUCUGCAGCCGGAUGCCCCAGACACCGUAACAGUGGUUCCCCUUUAUCCUGAGGGUGAUGGAGGGUAUACACCAGACACUGGAAGGACAUGGAAUGGUGAGAAGACUGGCCAGAGAUGUCCAAGUGUACAGUCCGACCCCAAACAGCUGGGACGAUCUCGACCCCGCCCCUGGCCGUUGCCGCAGCACCGUGUGGUGUGCGCUCCCCUGGCUGGCACGAGGCCCCCGGAACCUGUUGUGGUGCCAGGAAACACCCCCACGGCACACUUGGAGCAGCUGGUUCCAGACACACCCUAUUCCAUGAACAUCACUGCGCUCCACUCAGAUGGAGGCGGAAUCCCAGCCCCACGCGGGGCCAAACACAUGAGGCUGAAAUCCUUCCCACCCAGUUCCCUUGUGACUCAGUGAGGAAGGCUGGGCAGGACCAUGCAGUGGACCAAGGAAUCUGAGUCUUUGGAGAGACAACCAUCAGCCUGUCCGUGCCCUGGGAUCACGCUGAUGGGACAGCUCAGCAGCAAAGGAUCAUUUUUUGUCCCACCGUUGGUGACCCAGUCGAUGAAUAUGGGGAGGAGUAACUACAGCGGAAGUGACCCGAGUAGUCGGAACUGUCUACAGGACCUGCCUGAACGGUUGCAGAUUCUGUAAAGCAGAAUGGAAUUGUCACUUUUGUUUUUGGACAAAAGGCAAGAGCUUGCUGUCUUUUUAUGUUCCUCUGCUGUGCUGUUUGCAUUUUCUUGGACUGCUGAGUGUGUGAUUCCUGUACUUGGGCACCUGUACUCUAUGAAACUUAAUGCCUGGUGCAGGAUGCUUUCUUUUUAUUCUCACAUUGCUCAUCCUAAAGUGCUGUGCUGACUCAUCAGAAUAGGGUGUUAGUGUGGACAUACGUUACUGUGCAGUAGAGUAAACACAUCCCUGCCACCCCCACCUUCCUCACCCAUUCUGGAAAUUGCAAGAAUAGGACCCAAAAUGUAUUUUUACUACAGAACCACAGUUAGACAGCUGCUCAGAGUUUAUAAUAGCAGCCCUCCUCCGUGUAGCAAAACAAAACAGACACACACAUCAAACCCUCAGCACUUUUAAUGAGCUGAUUCUGGAUGUGCUGUACUGUUUUCAGCUUCAUUUAGAUAUUUUUACUUAGCAGGAAGAUCCCUAAGAACAACGGAGUGUCCAAUCUGUAUCUUGCGCAGA